CCACAUUUCUGCUGUGUUCAUCUGAGGUCAUGUCCAUAUAGUCAAAUAGCUGAAGGAAACUAUUCACCCCGGUGGACUCAUCAUGUUGGGGACUUUCAAUUGCUACUUUAAAAAGAACGCUUCACUGAAAUAGGUCUCAUCCCAUCAGGAACAUAGAAAAACAAGCAGCAAGCAGUUGUUUAUCUUUUGGCUUAAGCCAAAAGAACCUCAAAUGAAAGAAAACAAACAGAUGCCAUUAGAAAAUGCACUAAAGAUAUGAUGAAAGCUUAUCAGAAACAUCCCUCAGUCAUCAUAUUUAAUCACAGGCUUCAUGCCAUUAAUGUCUUUGCUCCAAAGUCUUCAUUUGAUUGUUUUUUUCUAACUUGUUAUUUUUUUGAGCAAACAUUCUUGUGAACUUUCAUAUUU
rnacentral:lncRNA from 10 species